UACAGAGGGUGCGAGCGUUGUCCGGAAUCACUGGGCGUAAAGGGCGCGUAGGCGGUGACUUAAGCGUGUGGUGAAAGCUCGGGGCUCAACCCCGAGUCGGCCGUGCGAACUGGGUCACUGGAGCAGAUCAGAGGCGGGCGGAAUUCCGGGUGUAGCGGUGGAAUGCGUAGAGAUCCGGAAGAACACCGGUGGCGAAGGCGGCCCGCUGGGAUCUGGCUGACGCUGAGGCGCGACAGCGUGGGGGAGCAAACAGG
rnacentral:rRNA from 1 species